AGCACAGGUGCAGGAGAUAAGGCAAGAACAGUAAGUAGGGGCAAUAAUUAGGAUUCUUCUGUACAUAAAGGCUGGUGAGUUAAGCUGAUUGCAAGUAUGAAGGCAGAGUCUUACUAAAACAAUGAAGAACAGAAGGUCAAGCAAACUGCUGAGGUGUCCAGGGUGAGAACUCUCCCAAUACAAUUGAUGCCCAUCAAUAUUUGUUACAUUUAUAUCCUACCUUCCUUCAAGAAGUUUUGAGGAGUGUUUAUAAUUCUCCCUUCUUUCAUUACCACCCUGUCAGCUCGUUGAAGCCUCAUGUGAAACAGGGCAUUAUGCGCAUCCCUGUUGCGAUCUUGUGCCUUGCUGCUUCCAACCUCUACACUGGCUAAAAGAAGAUUUGGAGCAUUGGACUCUACUUUCACGGCUCACCUUACCACUUCCCGAGAUCUCAGUUUUAAAGAAUAGACUGUCAACUAUAAGUAUAUGAAUUGUUUGUUCAGAUGUGGUUUACUUUUGCACUUUAUAUAACAUUGUAUUUUCUUACAAAUGAAUUGCAACAUAAAAUAUUGAAUUUCUUUA